rnacentral:rRNA from 1 species
CCUACGGGAGGCUGCAGUAGGGAAUAUUGCUCAAUGGGGGAAACCCUGAAGCAGCAACGCCGCGUGGAGGAUGAAGGUUUUCGGAUUGUAAACUCCUUUUGUUAGAGAAUAUAAUGACGGUAUCUAACGAAUAAGCACCGGCUAACUCCGUGCCAGCAGCCGCGGUAAUACGGAGGGUGCAAGCGUUACUCGGAAUCACUGGGCGUAAGGAGCGCGUAGGCGGGAUAGCAAGUCAGAUGUGAAAUCCUAUGGGUUAACCAUAGAACUGCAGUUGAAACUGUUAUUCUAGAGUAUGGGAGAGGUAGGUGGAAUUCUUGGUGUAGGGGUAAAAUCCGUAGAGAUCAAGAGGAAUACUCAUUGCGAAGGCGACCUGCUAGAACAUAACUGACGCUGAUGCGCGAAAGCGUGGGGAGCAAACAGGAGUAGAUACCCGGGUAGUC